rnacentral:rRNA from 1 species
UACAGAGGUCCCAAGCGUUGUUCGGAUUCAUUGGGCGUAAAGGGUGCGUAGGCGGUGCCGCAAGUCAGAUGUGAAAUCUCGGGGCUUAACCCCGAAACUGCAUUUGAUACUGCGGUGCUCGAGGACUGGAGAGGAGACUGGAAUUCACGGUGUAGCAGUGAAAUGCGUAGAUGUCGUGAGGAAGGCCAGUGGCGAAGGCGAGUCUCUGGACAGUUCCUGACGCUGAGGCACGAAGGCCAGGGGAGCAAACGGG